AUUGAACGCUGGCGGCAGGCCUAACACAUGCAAGUCGAGCGAGCGGCGGACGGGUGAGUAAUGUCUGGGAAACUGCCUGUUGGAGGGGGAUAACUACUGGAAACGGUGGCUAAUACCGCAUACCAUCAGAUGUGCCCAGAUGGGCUUAGCUAGUAGGUGGGGUAACGGCUCACCUAGGCGACGAUCCCUAGCGGGUCUGGGAGGAUGACAAGCCACACUGGAAUUGAGACACGGUCCAGACUCCUACGGGAGGCAGCAGUGGGGAAUAUUGCACAAUGGGCGCAAGCCUGAUGCAGCCAUGCCUCGUGUGUGAAGAAGGCCUUCGGGUUGUAAAGCACUUUCAGCGGGGAGGCGUUACCCGCAGAAGAAGCACCGGCUAACUCCGUGCCAGCAGCCGCGGUAAUAC
rnacentral:rRNA from 1 species